UGGCGAACGGGUGAGUAACGCGUGAGGAACCUGCCUCAAAGAGGGGGACAACAGUUGGAAACGACUGCUAAUACCGCAUAAGCCCACGACCCGGCAUCGGGUAGGAGGGGAAGAAGCAAUCCGCUUUGAGAUGGCCUCGCGUCCGAUUAGCUAGUUGGUGAGGUAAUGGCCCACCAAGGCGACGAUCGGUAGCCGGACUGAGAGGUUGAACGGCCACAUUGGGACUGAGACACGGCCCAG
rnacentral:rRNA from 1 species